UACGUGGGGGGCAAGCGUUGUUCGGAAUUACUGGGCGUAAAGGGCUCGUAGGCGGCCAACUAAGUCAGACGUGAAAUCCCUCGGCUUAACCGGGGAACUGCGUCUGAUACUGGAUGGCUUGAGUUCGGGAGAGGGAUGCGGAAUUCCAGGUGUAGCGGUGAAAUGCGUAGAUAUCUGGAGGAACACCGGUGGCGAAGGCGGCAUUCUGGACCGAUAUUGACGCUGAGGAGCGAAAGCCAGGGGAGCAAACGGG
rnacentral:rRNA from 1 species